rnacentral:rRNA from 1 species
AUUUCGGGCUUUAUUUGCGCAGGAUAGGUGGGAGGCUUUGAGAGUGUUUUUGAGGGAACAUUUGAGCCAUUGGUGAGAUACCACUCUUAUAAAGCUAGAAUUCUAACCUUAUACCGUUAGCCGGUUAAGGAACAGUCUCUGGUGGGCAGUUUGACUGGGGCGGUCGCCUCCUAAAAGGUAACGGAGGCGCACAAAGGUUUCCUCAGAUCGGUCAGAAAUCGAUCGUAGAGCGUAAAGGCAUAAGGAAGCUUGACUGCGAGACCUACAAGUCGAGCAGAGACGAAAGUCGGUCUUAGUGAUCUGACGGUUCCGAGUGGAAGGGCCGUCACUCAACGGAUAAAAGUUACUCUAGGGAUAACAGG